CUUAUGAUGGCGACCGGCGCACGGGUGCGUAACGCGUAUGCAACCUACCUUUUACAGGGGCAUAACACUGAGAAAUUGGUACUAAUUCCCCAUAAUAUCUGAGACGGCAUCGUUUUGGGUUGAAAACUCCGGUGGUAAAAGAUGGGCAUGCGUUGUAUUAGCUAGUUGGUGAGGUAACGGCUCACCAAGGCGACGAUACAUAGGGGGACUGAGAGGUUAACCCCCCACAUUGGUACUGAGACACGGUCCAAACUCCUACGGAAGGCAGCAG
rnacentral:rRNA from 1 species